rnacentral:rRNA from 1 species
CUACGGGGUGCUCCAGUAGGGAAUCUUCCACAAUGGACGAAAGUCUGAUGGAGCAACGCCGCGUGCAGGAUGAAUGCCUUAGGGUUGUAAACUGCUUUUAUAGAUGAAGAAUAUGACGGUAGUCUAUGAAUAAGGAUCGGCUAACUCCGUGCCAGCAGCCGCGGUCAUACGGAGGAUCCAAGCGUUAUCCGGAAUUACUGGGCGUAAAGAGUUGCGUAGGCGGUUUGUUAAGCGAUCAAUGGAAUCAUAUGGCUCAACCAUGUGGCUAUUGCUCGAACUAACAAACUAGAGUGUGAGAGAGGUACCUGGAAUUCCUAGUGUAGGAGUGAAAUCCGUAGAUAUUAGGAGGAACACCAAUGGCGUAGGCAGGGUACUGGCUCAUUACUGACGCUGAGGCACGAAAGCGCGGGGAGCGAACGGGAUUAGAUACCCCUGUAGUC